GACAGAGGGUGCAAACGUUGUUCGGAAUUACUGGGCGUAAAGCGCGUGUAGGCUGUUUCGCAAGUCGGAUGUGAAAGCCCUGGGCUCAACCUAGGAAGUGCACUCGAAACUGCGAAACUGGAGUCCUGGAGAGGAAGGCGGAAUUCUCGGUGUAGAGGUGAAAUUCGUAGAUAUCGAGAGGAACACCGGUGGCGAAGGCGGCCUUCUGGACAGUGACUGACGCUGAGACGGCGAAAGCGUGGGGAGCAAACAGG
rnacentral:rRNA from 1 species